rnacentral:misc_RNA from 1 species
GAAAUGUGAUAAGUAAUGUGAAUUGCAGAAUUCAGUGAAUCAUCGAAUCUUUGAACGCACAUUGCGCCCGCCAGCACUCUGGCGGGCAUGCCUGUUCGAGCGUCAUUUCAACCCUCAGAACCCCUUGCGGGAUCUGGCGUUGGGGAUUGGCAUCCAGCCAGCCCCGAAAUCUAGUGGCGGUCCCUCCGCGACCUCCCCCGUGCAGUAGCGAUACCUCGCAGCGGGACAGCGGUCUGACCACGCCGUAAAACCCCCAACUUCUCAAGGUUGACCUCGAAUCAGGUAGGAAUACCCGCUGAACUUAAGC